AAUUCGUAUGGUUCCUGUUCGUGUAUUUGGAGUGCUAUCUUAUUCCCUUGUAUGCCGUUCGGGAGUUUGGAGCAUUCACUUGUAUGCAGUUCGAGAGUUUGGAGCAUUCACUUGUAUGCAGUUCGAGUGUUUGGACCAUUCCCUUGUAUGCAGUUCGAGUGUUUGGAGCAUUCCCUUGUAUGCCGUUCGGGAGUUUGGAGCAUUCACUUGUAUUCAGUUCGUGAGUUUUGGUGAUUCUACAGUAGCUGUGCCUGUCUCUGAAAGGGGAUUAUCGUCUAAGCAGUUUUUUUCCCUUUUUGUGCAAAACGGUCCGUUACAGGGGUCAGCUGGCCUAGGCUGACAUGUUUCUCUUGUUCCCAAAGGUCAAGUGGCUUGGAUCGUGAGUCAUUUCUUCAUAUUCUGGGCCAAGAGGAGAGCUGCAGCUCAUUUUCGAGGUCAGCAGCUGGGCUUACCUGAGGACCGGAUGGCGUUUCUCUGGUUUAGCUACAGGGGCUACGUGUGGCAAGAGGUUUGCAGUGAGGUGUUCAGGAUGGUAGCGGGGGGUAGGAGGACAGAUCUGCUGGUCUUACACGCAUUAGGUAAUGACCUCAGGGCUUAUCCUGCAGCGUCUCCUGGUUAAGCGGAUGAAGCAGGAUAUUAAUCGUAUUAGGGCGAGGGUCCCUGGGGUGCAGCUGGACUGGUCAGAAAUAGUUCCCUGGCUCCACUGGCGGCAUGCUCAGGAGCUGCCAGCGGUUGGUCGUUGCCGAGCUAAAGUGAACGGAUUGAUGGUUAGCUUUGUCAAGAAGGUGGGAGGAGCAGUGGUCCGGCACGGGGAGCUUGAAGAGGAGCUUGAAGAUGCGUUAGCUGGCUAUUUCUCUCCUGAUGGGGUCCAUCUCUCAGAUGUGGGAUGGGACCUGUUUCAUUUAGGAUUGCAGGAAGGCUUGGCCAGGGCAUUAUUUCUGCGGGGUGGCUGAGCUCAGACGGCUUAAGGUUUCAAGGUCAGAGCUUGUGGCGGGGUGGGGUAAAGAACAUUAAGGAAAAAAUGGGCCUUAGUUAAUAUAGAAGUAAGGGCAGUUAGUUGAUUGGUUAAAAGGGUACACUGUUCGUACAAGUUUUGAUAGGUUUCUAGUCUGUUGGUGGCUCAGAACCUCGGUGGUGUCAGUGGCGGAUCCAGUGGGGGGCAACGGGGCAAUUGCCCCCCCGAGAUUCUCCCCUGCCG